CCCUUAGAUGUUCUGGGCCGCACGCGCGCUACACUGACAGAGCCAGCGAGUAUUUCACCUUGGCCGGAAGGUCUGGGUAAUCUUGUGAAACUCUGUCGUGCUGGGGAUAGAGCAUUGCAAUUAUUGCUCUUCAACGAGGAAUACCUAGUAAGCGCAAGUCAUCAGCUUGCGUUGAUUACGUCCCUGCCCUUGUACACACCGCCCGUCGCUACUACCGAUUGAAUGGCUUAGUGAGGUCUCCGGAUUGGCUUUGUGGAACCGGAAACGGUACUACGUUGCUGAGAAGCUGAUCAAACUUGGUCAUUUAGAGGAAGUAAAANUCGUAACA
rnacentral:rRNA from 1 species